AGGUUCUUUCACUAAGCUGUUCAGAGGCAAUGCAAACCACCUUAACUAACUGAGCCAUCAAGGUGUUUAGAUGAGCAGACCAAACCCACACACAGGACUGAAGAGAGAAUGAAAGCAAGGACUCUGGUGCUGGAAAAAGGAGAAAAGAUUUAGGGCAAAGAUAAGUGUAGGCAGUAUACAUCUGCAUGCAUGGUGGGGAUUAUAAAUAGAUAUCCGAUAUAAUUUAGUGCUUGCAAAUUAGGGGUUGCUUAUAUUCUUUUGCAAGCAACAUUUCUUAAUCUGUUCAUUUUUGGAGGCCAAGUCAGCAGUGACCUGACUUUCAUGCCUCUGCAUAAUACAUGAACACUACAUAAAUGAGCUUUCAGUGGGGUUACUCCUAGGGACAUUUAGCCUCUCCACUUCACUUCUGCUCGUCUCUUUCUGGAAAAUGGGAUGGAAGAUUGCAUUCUCUCACUACCACCUUCCACCAGGAGAAGCUGUUUUCUUUCCUGAAAGACAAUUUACAUCCAGAGAGUAGAAGAGGACCCUGGUUACUUUGAUUUCAAAUAGAGCUCCCCAGAGCAUGACAUUCCAUCUCAUGAACAUCAACUGAUUACAGGAAAAGGAGAAAGCAGGUAAUUAGUAGGAGUGGGGAGCCAUUUUCCUAAUCCAAUCCUCAGUGUCCCCUGGAUUAACCUCGUGUGAAUUUUUUCCACACCGGGCUGUGCUAGCAGAGAGAGCUCUGUGGGAAAGCAAGAAGACCAUGCUCUCAAUUUAACAAUUAUUAUUUUUAUAUCACAGGAUACCACACAUGCGUGUGAAUGUUUUUGCCGUACAAAUACGCAAAUGCAGGAUUGAACGUCUAAAUCUUAUGUCAAGCGCUGUUAUGUACACCCACACUCUUUACUUUUCUGUCUAGGAUGCUGAUGUGUAAAAGAGAGGUGAAAUAUAAGAACUAAAUGAUGAGAAAAUAAAUUAUAAACCUCAAGUACAUUUAAAAGUAGAAGUGAUCAGUAGAGAGACCUAAGAUCCUUAGAAUGCUGAUGGUGGCCUCACCUGUAAGUAAACUCAGAAUGGUGUUUUAUUAAGAAUGAACUGCUGUAUAGAUCAGGUCUUGUCACAACAAACCACAAGUGACUCUCUAAAUUUUUAUGCCGAAAUGAAUGCUACUCUACUAAAUGAGCAUUGCCUAAUAGCGUGUGUUUUUUCUUGAUCAUGCAGUGAUAUUUGCUGUUGGGGAUUUGACCUCUUCUAGCUUUCUUCUAGUUUAGUGGUAUUUCUGUUCUCUCCUUCUCUUGUUCCCUGAGUGCUUACGUAACUUGACAAUACCUCUUGGAGCAAUUUGAAUAUAUGAACCUCAAGUCACUGGAAUUUAUGAGUUCUACUAGAAACUGGCAUAAUAAUUCAGAAGUGGAAUUCAUGGAAGAAUUAUGGCCUCCCAAUUACUAAUCCAAUUAUUUUCUUAUAGAGGUGGAAAGAAAGGGUCAUUCUCUUUUUAUUUCAAUUCCCAAAGAAUAGUUUACAGCAGCAGUAUUACACAUCGUAUACAAUCAUGGGGGUAGGGAGAAUUGCAAGAGAGAAGGAAAUAGUAUUUGUCCAAUGCUAACUAUAGACAAGACAUUUUAGAAACAGUUUAAUUUAAUCCUCUUUACAACCCUGAGCCAGUUGGUUCUCUAUAAAUGUUACACUUGAAAAAAAAAGUGUGUAAAAUUUUAAAUUAAGUAAUUAGCCACAAAUCCCAGGUGGGGGGUUGGAAGAGUGAAGGAAGA